rnacentral:rRNA from 1 species
UUGAUCGGGCUAGGGGGCGUAAAGCUUACCGAACCUAGUUAAACUACGAAUGGCUAUACUAUAGAACUUGGGAGUCAGACUGCGAGUGAUAAGACCCGUAGUCAAGAGGGAAACAGCCCAGAACGCCGACUAAGGUCCCAAAUGCUGUGCUAAGUGGAAAAGGAUGUAAAACUUCACAAACAACCAGGAUGUUGGCUUAGAAGCAGCCACCAUUCAAAGAGUGCGUAAUAGCUCACUGGUCGAGAGGUUUUGCGCCGGAAAUGUCCGGGGCUAAAGCACAGAACCGAAGUCGCGUCAGAUUGAAAAAUAUCUGGGUAGGGGAGCGUUCUUAUCGGGCAGAAGCAAUACCGUAAGGAGUUGUGGACUGAUAAGAAGUGAGAAUGCCGGUAUGAGUAGCGAAAAGAACAGUGAGAAUCUGUUCCACCGAAAGCCUAAGGGUUCCUGAGCAACGAUCGUCGACUCAGGGUAAGUCGGGACCUAAGCCGAGGCGUAGAGCGUAGGCGAUGGACAACUGGUAAAUAUUCCAGUACCACCAAUAAUCAUUUGAGUGAUGGAGUGACACAGAAGGAAGGUUAAGCGCGAGGAUGGAAAUUCGCGUCUAAGCUGGUAGGGUGUGAUGUAGGCAAAUCCGCAUCAUGAAAGCCUGAGAAGUGAUGGGUAUAGUUACCUCGGUAACUAGAAACUAACUGGACCACGCUGUCAAGAAAAGCUUCUAGCGAGAUUAAAGGUGCCCGUACCGUAAACCGACACAGGUAGGCGGGGAGAGAAUCCUAAGGUGCGCGGGAAAACCCUCGUUAAGGAACUCGGCAAAAUGUAUCCGUAACUUCGGGAAAAGGAUAACCUAAGCUGGUGAAGUCAUUAACUGACGGAGCUGGAGUAGGUCACAGGAGAGAGGCCCAAGCGACUGUUUACCACAAACACAGGUGCCUGCUAAAGAGAAAUCUGACGUAUAGGUGCUGACACCUGCCCGGUGCUGGAAGGUUAAGAGGAGUGCCUAGAGCAAUCGAAGGUAUGAAUUGAAGCCCCAGUAAACGGCGGCCGUAACAAUAACGGUCCUAAGGUAGCGAAAUUCCUUGUCGGGUAAGUUCCGACCCGCACGAAAGGUGUAACGACUUGGGCACUGUCUCAACGAGGGACCCGGUGAAAUUGAAAUACCUGUGAAGAUGCAGGUUACCCGCGACUGGACAGAAAGACACCAUGGAGCUUUACUGCAACCUGACAUUGAAUUUUGGUAAAUAAUGUACAGGAUAGGUGGGAGACGGAGAAUAAGGAACGCCAGUUUCUUAGGAGUCAUUGUUGGGAUACCACCCUUUAUUUACUGAAAUUCUAACCG